UGGGGAAUAUUGCACAAUGGGCGCAAGCCUGAUGCAGCCAUGCCGCGUGUAUGAAGAAGGCCUUCGGGUUGUAAAGUACUUUCAGCGGGGAGGAAGGUGUUGUGGUUAAUAACCACAGCAAUUGACGUUACCCGCAGAAGAAGCACCGGCUAACUCCGUGCCAGCAGCCGCGGUAAUACGGAGGGUGCAAGCGUUAAUCGGAAUUACUGGGCGUAAAGCGCACGCAGGCGGUCUGUCAAGUCGGAUGUGAAAUCCCCUGGCUCAACCUGGGAACUGCAUCCGAAACUGGCAGGCUUGAGUCUUGUAGAGGGGGGUAGAAUUCCAGGUGUAGCGGUGAAAUGCGUAGAGAUCUGGAGGAAUACCGGUGGCGAAGGCGGCCCCCUGGACAAAGACUGACGCUCAGGUGCGAAAGCGUGGGGAGCAAACA
rnacentral:rRNA from 1 species